CGGGAGCUAGGGCUUUUGUGCCAAAAGAGGACGUGAGUGAUUCAGAUGACGCGGAGGGUGCGGAUGAAGGCGAAGGUUGGUUUAUUGUGCCUGAAGCGGUUGUUGUGGUGGUGGCAGGGGCUAGGGUUGGGAAUGGUCGCGGUGGGAGAGAUCAAUCUCUUUCCCCCCACACGUUGCUUGUGAUUUCUUUCCCUGCCUGCUGGUGUGUGCUCAACGGUGGAUGCCUUGUGGGAGUCGGGGAUCUGUAGAAGCUUGACGGCCUGUGGUUGCGUCCCUUGUUUGGUGGUAAACCUACUCUAUUCGAGGUGUUCUUCUCUUCCUUGUCGGCCCCCUUGGCCUUUUCAGGUGGGAUUUCCAACCGUGUUUUUGGUGGGAGUUGUCUUCAUUAUCCUUCGGUGGUUAUUGGCCCUAGCAGCAUUUUUUUCUUGGGUACCUUCUCUAUCUCACUUUUCAAGGGUUCUUCUUAGCCUGGUCUAUCGAGGUGACCCCAUCUCCUAUUGCGGUGGUGGUGGGUUCGGUUGGUCUUCCUUUGUCUGGGUGUACAGGGUUGGUCCGAGUGUUUUUUCCCUGGAUAGCACGUUCCUUCCCAUUGGUGUUUUGGAUGUUGUUGAUGAUUCAGAGGUUUAUGUUUGUCCUUUGGUUAUCUGGUGUUUGGAUCUGCUAUGGUUGUUAUGGUCCUGGGAGCCAAUCUAAAACCCAACUUGUGUGGUUUGGGGAGCCUAUUAAAAUCCCAUGGGGUGGUGUUUUCUGAGUUUGGAUUUUUUAUGUAUACCCUUGUUUUCUUGUUCCAGAGAAAGGUUAAGGGGUCUAUUUUAAAACCCUAGUUAUUGUUGUUGUUGGGGUCUAUUUUUUGGUGUCCCUAUUUUUGGACUCCUAUGCCUCUCUCUCUUGUUUCAGUCUUAGCGCCUUUGGAUUUCCUUGGUUCAGUCUAUUGAGGUGGCACCUUCUUCUAUUGAGGUGGAGAUGGUUUGUUCCGGAGAUGGCUUUUCUUCUAUAGAGGUGAAGAUGGGUGUUGUGUCUAUUUAGAGGAGUUGUAGGUGGUAUUUGGCGGAUCAACUGUCAGGUUGUGAGAGCCUUGAAAACCCUCUUUCAAGGUUGAGGAGGCCCGAAAGAUCCCUAUUUUUGGUUGUGGGAGCUUGGUUAUUGUUUGUGGGAGUCGUUCAAAAUCCAUCAAAGUUGGGGGAGCCUGGCAAAACCCCAUGUCUUUCGUUUCUGUUGAGGAUGGACUAGAUUGGAGUUUGAAGGUGCUUUCCAAAACCCUCCUUAUGUAUGUCUUGAAGGUUAGGGGAGCCUUUCAAAACCCACACAUAUGCUCUCAGGUUUUUUUCUAUUCUGUGUGUGCUGGUCGUGAGAGCCUUGUUCUUCCCAUAGGUAAGUUGGAUGCUAGAAAUUUUAAAGGGCUCAGUCUGUCUAGUUAUGGUUUUUGGUUAAGGGUUAGUUGUGUUGUUGGCAGGCUAAAUACUUUGUUACAGGUUAAGGGAGCCUGGGAAACCCCUUGUUUGUUGGCUUUGGGAGCCAGUUUAAAACCCAUGAUGAAGGUUAGGGGAGCCUUUCAAAACCCCAUUAGACCAGAUUGUGAGUAUAUGUUGAUCUAUUGUAAUCUGGUGUUGUUGAAGGUGAUGGGUGACUGGAUACAUCUGUAGGUUAAGGGAGCCUUGUAACACCCUUGUUUAUGUGUUAGGGAUGAUUUUAUGUCCAGUUUGUGGUUUGGUUGUUGGUAUGUUGAUGCUCUUUUCUUUUAGCAGUGUCAUACUGUGGGUUCCAGACCUUGGUAAAAUCUGAGGGUUUUGGGUCCCUUCAAAACCUGUGGGGUUUCGGGUCCUCUCAAAACCCAUUGUACGGGGUUUCUGGUCCCCUUAAAACAUGUUUACCCUUAAUCAUAAACAUACAUUUUUUCCAUUUAACUCUUUUUGUCUUUUGCUACAAACGAUUUUGUGCUCACAUAGUUUUGUGCAUUUCAAUUUAAGUAUUUUAGGCCUUUUCAACCUACAAUUUUUUUGUUGAUGCUUUAUGUGAAGCUUUGGUGUUAAUAUGAUUCUGGAACUAUUGUGUACGAUAUAUAAUACUUAUUCCAUGUAUUUGUAUCGUGUAUGCAUUUUUGUGCUGAUGCAUUUCAGAAAUUAUCAACACCAUAGUCGGUAUUAACAAAAAAAAACAAAGGAACUUCUUCUAAAGCGUCUUGCAAAGGACAAAAACUGAAUUUUUUUUUUUAAAAAGUAAGGUUUCCAAUAUUUAGGAUUCAUUCUAUUGUUCUUUAUCAUAUCUCUGACCAUUAUUCUAACCUCGUUGGUGGUUUUUAAUAUUAUAAAUCCUUUCAUCCUUGCUUCCACUGAACAGCUGAAUUUAGCAUUCAAUUUAAUGCUCAAACUUAAUCAAAUUUGGUAUUCAAGUGAUGGAAAUGGGAGCAAUGGAAUUUGACGUUACCCAGCAUCUCCGCACAAGUUCUAGAUGGCUUGACAUAUUUUCAAGAUCUUGUAGAAGAGAGCUCCAUUGUACCAAGUAUUCAAAUUCUUAAAAGGGAUUAUGAAGAUGCAAUCCAUGAUAGCGAAGAGACAUUUCUGGAGUAAAGGUAUAAAAGAAAUCUUUGUAAAAGUAGCAAGAGGUGUAAAUGUGUGGUGUGUAUAUGUGCUGGAAGACAAUCAUUAUAUACACGUAAUGGUCAAGAGGGUUGUCCAUGAAAAUAUUAUAUUAGAGGAAGUGACAGCAAGAGAUUUGGAUCAUGUAUCAUCUAUUCGUGACCGGCUAUCAAGAUAAGUUCUCCAUCCUGAACUAUUCUUAGAAUUGUAAAUCAAAUAUUAUAAUAAAAUGUUUCCAGUUUGAUUAAAUCUUAUUCAUAAAUAUAUUACAUUUCUCACUAUAACCUGGAAUUGUUGUUUCAGGACUGCAUUAUUGUAAAAUCUCAAACUUGGGACAUUACAUUCUCCCAGCACUUUGCAAGUUUUUGAGCAUAUUAUGUACAUGUCGUCUCUUGAUUGUACUCUUGUGAGGAACUUGUCACACAUUUGUUGAUUUUUUAGAUGGCAUAAAAUUAGUGACUU